UAGGGAAUCUUCCACAAUGGGCGAAAGCCUGAUGGAGCAAUGCCGCGUGAGUGAUGAAGGUUUUCGGAUCGUAAAGCUCUGUUGCCAGGGAAGAACGUCCAGGUGAGUAACUGCACCUGGAGUGACGGUACCUGAGAAGAAAGCCCCGGCUAACUACGUGCCAA
rnacentral:rRNA from 1 species